CGGAUUGAAUGGGGGAAACCCUGAGCAGCAACGCCGCGUGAGUGAUGAAGGUUUUCGGAUCGUAAAGCACUGUCUUUGGGGAAGAUAAUGACGGUACCCAAGGAGGAAGCCACGGCUAACUACGUGCCAGCAGCCGCGGUAAUACGUAGGUGGCGAGCGUUAUCCGGAUUUACUGGGCGUAAAGGGAGCGUAGGCGGAUGAUUAAGUGGGAUGUGAAAUACCCGGGCUCAACUUGGGUGCUGCAUUCCAAACUGGUUAUCUAGAGUGCGGGAGAGGAGAGUGGAAUUCCUAGUGUAGCGGUGAAAUGCGUAGAGAUUAGGAAGAACACCAGUGGCGAAGGCGACUCUCUGGACUGUAACUGACGCUGAGGCUCGAAAGCGUGGGGAGCAAACAGGAUUAGAUACCCUGGU
rnacentral:rRNA from 1 species